CAUAGCGACUAUCGUGGCAUAUCAAUAAGCGGAGGAAAAGAAACUAACAAGGAUUCCCUUAGUAACGGCGAGUGAAGCGGGAAGAGCUCAAAUUUGAAAUCUUCAAGGUUCUACCUUGACGAAUUGUAGUUUAUAGAAGUGUUUUCUGUUAGUGGAGUGGCAAAAGUUCUUUGGAAUAGGACAUCAUAGAGGGUGAGAAUCCCGUAUUUGGUCAUUCCUCCUAGCGUUGUGAUACACUUUCAACGAGUCGGAUUGUUUGGGAAUGCAGUCCAAAAUGGGUGGUAAAUUUCAUCUAAAGCUAAAUAUUGGCGAGAGACCGAUAGCGAACAAGUACCGUGAGGGAAAGAUGAAAAGAACUUUGAAAAGAGAGUUAAACAGUACGUGAAAUUGUCAAAAGGGAAGCGUUUGACACCAGUGUUGUUUUUCCGAAAAUCAAUUACGAAUGUUUUGUUUUUGAGAAGUUAUGACUUCAUCGGCUUGCUUCUCUCUUUACGAAACUUUCUUAAUGCACUUUUCGGUUAACAAGUCAACAUCAAUUUCUUUUGUUGUAAAAGGGUAUGAGGAAGGUGGCUUUCUUUUCGGAGAAAGUGUUUAUAGCCUUGUACCUCUGCAAUCGGAGAGAUUGAGGUCUGCAGCGUAGAUCCUUCGGGGUUAGAUACAUUUGUGCUAAGUUAUAGCUUUUCAUAGACAACUUGUUGACUAUGUUAAGUCUUGUAGCUUACUCGCUUAUGCUAUUUUACCUACGCUUAGGAUGUUGACGAGACUGUCGAUCUC
rnacentral:rRNA from 1 species